rnacentral:rRNA from 1 species
AAAUAUGUGAAUUAAUGCAAAUAGUGGAUGCCUAUGGCUUGUUUAGGCCGAUGAAGGACGCACUAGGCCGCGAAAGUCGUCGGGGAGCUGCCAAGAAGCUUUGAUCCGGCGGUGUCCGAAUAGAGAAAUCUCCCUUUGUGAAAGCGAAGGGACCCCGCCUUUUUGGCGGGGGGGUAAGUCGGGGAACUGAAAUAUCUAAGUACCCGGAGGAAAAUAAAUCGAAUGAGAUUCCCUUAGUAAGCGACGAGCGAACAGGGAUCAGCCCAAACCCGGCUUUUGCCGGGGGUUGUAGGACCUCAAUAUUCCGAGAGAGUCGAUAGAAGAAUGCUUUGGAAUAAGCAACCAAAGAAAGUGAAAGUCUUGUAUUUUAAAUCGUCAAUCAAGGAUAGAGUGUUCCUGAGUAGGUUGGGAGACGGCAAACUCCCUUCUGAAGCAGGGGUGACCACACUCCAAGGCUAAAUACCAAACAAGACCGAUAGUGAACGAGUACCGCGAGGGAAAGGUGAAAAGAAGGGUGGAAGACCCAGUGAAAUAGAUCCUGAAACUAUUUGCUAACAAUCAGAGAGAGCUCCGCAUUUAUGCGGGGUGAUCUCGUGCCUAUUGAAGAAUGAGCCGGCGAGUUUUUUCGCACAUGCAAAGCUUAAGCCACUUCGUGGUGGAGGCGCAGGGAAACCGAGUCUGAAUAGGGCGAUAUCCGUUGAGA